GAUGAACGCUGGCGGCGUGCCUAAUACAUGCCAGUCGAGCGAACAGAUGAGGAGCUUGCUCCUCUGACGUUAGCGGCGGACGGGUGAGUAACACGUGGAUAACCUACCUAUAAGACUGGGAUAACUUCGGGAAACCGGAGCUAAUACCGGAUAAUAUAUUGAACCGCAUGGUUCAAUAGUGAAAGACGGUUUUGCUGCCACUUAUAGAUGGAUCCGCGCCGCAUUAGCUAGUUGGUAAGGUAACGGCUUACCAAGGCAACGAUGCGUAGCCGACCUGAGAGGGUGAUCGGCCACACUGGAACUGAGACACGGUCCAGACUCCUACGGGAGGCAGCAGUAGGGAAUCUUCCGCAAUGGGCGAAAGCCUGACGGAGCAACGCCGCGUGAGUGAUGAAGGUCUUCGGAUCGUAAAACUCUGUUAUUAGGGAAGAACAAAUGUGUAAGUAACUAUGCACGUCUUGACGGUACCUAAUCAGAAAGCCACGGCUAACUACGUG
rnacentral:rRNA from 1 species